rnacentral:rRNA from 1 species
GGAAUAUUGGACAAUGGGUGAGAGCCUGAUCCAGCCAUCCCGCGUGAAGGAUGACGGUCCUAUGGAUUGUAAACUUCUUUUGUAUAGGAAUAAACCUUUCUACGUGUAGAAAGCUGAAGGUACUAUACGAAUAAGCACCGGCUAACUCCGUGCCAGCAGCCGCGGUAAUACGGAGGGUGCAAGCGUUAUCCGGAUUUAUUGGGUUUAAAGGGUCCGUAGGCGGACCGAUAAGUCAGUGGUGAAAUCUCAUAGCUUAACUAUGAAACUGCCAUUGAUACUGUCGGUCUUGAGUAAAUUAGAGGUAGCUGGAAUAAGUAGUGUAGCGGUGAAAUGCAUAGAUAUUACUUAGAACACCAAUUGCGAAGGCAGGUUACCAUGAUUUAACUGACGCUGAGGGACGAAAGCGUGGGUAGCGAACAGGAUUAGAUACCCCUG